UGCCCGGUGGCCAUAGUGGAGAGGUCAUACCCGUUCCCAUCCCGAACACGGAAGUCAAGCUCUCAUUACGCCGAUGAUACUGCUCUUUCAGAGUGGGAAAGUAGGUAGCUGCCGGGCU
rnacentral:rRNA from 1 species